GAUGCUAAUACCGGAUAACAACAGAUGAUGCCUAUCAACUGUUUAAAAGAUGGUUCUGCUAUCACUCUUGGAUGGACCUGCAGUGCAUUAGCUAGUUGGUAGGGUAACGGCCUACCAAGGCGAUGAUGCAUAGCCGAGUUGAGAGACUGAUCGGCCACAUUGGGACUGAGACACGGCCCAAACUCCUACGGGAGGCAGCAGCG
rnacentral:rRNA from 1 species